rnacentral:lncRNA from 1 species
UUAUUCAGUUGUAGUUGCGGGGGAUCGGACCGUAAUCCGCCCUACCAAGUUCAGUACCAGAAACCGCUGAACCAACUGACAACUAGUCUUAUUUUCAAAAAAAAAUAUUUGAAGAUUCUACAUCUGUUGGGUUAAGUGACCGGGUGAGGGUCACCAAACUUAGAAGGUGCAUUCCUUUAUUUUUUUCUCUUUUUUUUUCUUUUUCGGAACACUCACUUAUAUUCAUCGGUUUCCCUGCGUAGUGUGCGUGUGAGAUGGUGCUGACUGCUAAAAUAAACUACUCA